UACGUAGGGCGCAAGCGUUGUCCGGAAUUAUUGGGCGUAAAGAGCUCGUAGGCGGCUUGUCACGUCGGGUGUGAAAGCCCGGGGCUUAACCCCGGGACUGCAUUCGAUACGGGCAGGCUAGAGUGUGGUAGGGGAGAUCGGAAUUCCUGGUGUAGCGGUGAAAUGCGCAGAUAUCAGGAGGAACACCGGUGGCGAAGGCGGAUCUCUGGGCCAUUACUGACGCUGAGGAGCGAAAGCGUGGGGAGCGAACAGG
rnacentral:rRNA from 1 species